rnacentral:rRNA from 1 species
GGCUCAGAACGAACGCUGGCGGCGCGUUUAAGCAUGCAAGUCGAGCGGCAAGGGCCUUCGGGCCCUAGAGCGGCGGACGGGUGAGUAACACGUGGACAAUCUGCCCCCCGGCCCGGGAUAGCCCAGGGAAACCUGGAUUAAUACCGGAUGAGACGGGACCCGCGAUGGCGGGACCCGGGAAAGGCGCUGCGGCGCCGCCGGGGGAUGAGUCUGCGUCCCAUUAGCUAGACGGCGGGGUAACGGCCCACCGUGGCGACGAUGGGUAGCCGGCCUGAGAGGGUGGACGGCCACAUUGGAACUGAGACACGGCCCAGACUCCUACGGGAGGCAGCAGCUAAGAAUCUUCCGCAAUGGGCGAAAGCCUGACGGAGCGACGCCGCCGUGAACGAAGAAGGCCGUGAGGUUGUAAAGUUCUUUUCGGGAGGGGGAACAACCGUGGCAGGGAAUGGCCGCGGGAUGACGUGAAUCCCGGAAUAAGCCCCGGCUAACUACGUGCCAGCAGCUGC